GGGAGCGACGAUACUAGCUCUAAUGCAUCGGAUCUCAUCAGAACUCUGCAGUUAAGCGUGCUUGGGUGAGAGUAGUACUAGGAUGGGUGACCUCUUGGGAAGUCCUCGAGUUGCAUCCC
rnacentral:rRNA from 1 species